GCCCGGGUAGUAUAGUCCGGUCUAGUAUGGGGGACUGUCACUCCUUCGACCCGGGUUCGAAAUUCGGUUUGAUAGAAAAAACCGAACGGACAUCCCGGCCCGGGCG
rnacentral:tRNA from 1 species